rnacentral:rRNA from 1 species
UACGUAGGGUGCAAGCGUUGUCCGGAAUUAUUGGGCGUAAAGAGCUCGUAGGCGGUCUGUCGCGUCGGCUGUGAAAACCCGGGGCUCAACCCCGGGCCUGCAGUCGAUACGGGCAGACUAGAGUGCGGUAGGGGGAGACUGGAAUUCCUGGUGUAGCGGUGAAAUGCGCAGAUAUCAGGAGGAACACCGGUGGCGAAGGCGGGUCUCUGGGCCGUAACUGACGCUGAGGUGCGAAAGCGUGGGGAGCAAACAGG